rnacentral:tRNA from 1 species
GCCUAUAGCCUAGUGUAGUGGUCAUGGCAUCUGCCCGGUAAGCGGAAGGUCGUGGGUUCGAUUCCCAUCCCUUGACCU